rnacentral:rRNA from 1 species
UGGGGAAUAUUGCACAAUGGGCGCAAGCCUGAUGCAGCCAUGCCGCGUGUAUGAAGAAGGCCUUCGGGUUGUAAAGUACUUUCAGCGGGGAGGAAGGGAGUAAAGUUAAUACCUUUGCUCAUUGACGUUACCCGCAGAAGAAGCACCGGCUAACUCCGUGCCAGCAGCCGCGGUAAUACGGAGGGUGCAAGCGUUAAUCGGAAUUACUGGGCGUAAAGCGCACGCAGGCGGUCUGUCAAGUCGGAUGUGAAAUCCCCGGGCUCAACCUGGGAACUGCAUCUGAUACUGGCAAGCUUGAGUCUCGUAGAGGGGGGUAGAAUUCCAGGUGUAGCGGUGAAAUGCGUAGAGAUCUGGAGGAAUACCGGUGGCGAAGGCGGCCCCCUGGACGAAGACUGACGCUCAGGUGCGAAAGCGUGGGGAGCAAACAGG